rnacentral:rRNA from 1 species
AUUGAACGCUGGCGGCAGGCCUAACACAUGCAAGUCGAACGGUAACAGGAAGCAGCUUGCUGCUUCGCUGACGAGUGGCGGACGGGUGAGUAAUGUCUGGGAAACUGCCUGAUGGAGGGGGAUAACUACUGGAAACGGUAGCUAAUACCGCAUAACGUCGCAAGACCAAAGAGGGGGACCUUAGGGCCUCUUGCCAUCGGAUGUGCCCAGAUGGGGUUAGCUAGUAGGUGGGGUAACGGCUCACCUAGGCGACGAUCCCUAGCUGGUCUGAGAGGAUGACCAGCCACACUGGAACUGAGACACGGUCCAGACUCCUACGGGAGGCAGCAGUGGGGAAUAUUGCACAAUGGGCGCAGGCCUGAUGCAGCCAUGCCGCGUGUAUGAAGAAGGCCUUCGGGUUGUAAAGUACUUUCAGCGGGGAGGAAGGGAGUAAAGUUAAUACCUUUGCUCAUUGACGUUACCCGCAGAAGAAGCACCGGCUAACUCCGUG